UACGUAGGGUGCGAGCGUUAAUCGGAAUUACUGGGCGUAAAGCGUGCGCAGGCGGUUCGCUGUGUCCGAUGUGAAAGCCCCGGGCUUAACCUGGGAAUGGCAUUGGAAACUGGCGGGCUUGAGUGCGGAAGAGGGGGGUGGAAUUCCCGGUGUAGCGGUGAAAUGCGUAGAGAUCGGGAAGAACACCAGUGGCGAAGGCGGCUACCUGGACCAGCACUGACACUGAGACACGAAAGCGUGGGGAGCAAACAGG
rnacentral:rRNA from 1 species